GGCUGAAGUCCGCCGCUCUCCCCGGCGCCCCGCGCCCCCGCCUGGCCGGCAUCGCGGUCCCUCCCCAGCUUUUGUCCCUCCCCAGCCCCGGAGCCCCCGGGGUCCGGAAACUCGCGGGGGCUGGGCCGGAGGCCCUGGGCGUCCAACUGACGGCCGGGGUCUCCCUCCAGGACCGCCGCCUCCGAGCCUGCGGGGCUAUGUGGAUGGGGCCCGAGGGGGCGUCUGGAAGGAGGGUAGAGGGACAGGGCGUCUUUUCUGUUUUCACUGUUGAGCACCUUUCUGCCAGGUCGGAGCGUGAGGACUAGAGAAGAAGAGAUGGCCGGUCCACUGCCCUCCGCACUACAGCUCAGUAUCUGGGGUGACACCCCCCUCCUCCUCCACACACUGAGACGAUGCAAAUUCGCAUUCCUGGUGCACUGUUGUGGCCAGAUGCAGAACUACUCUUUGGUUAACAAGGGGACGCCAGGUGAAGGUGCCCAGGCCUCUGUCCUCGCCCCCGCCCAUCGGCCGCACCCCAAUAAAAAAAAAGACACGGCUUGUUGCCGGCGCCUGGCUCAGUACGGCCCACAGCUGUGUUCAGGGUGGCUGGCUCUGAACUGAUCUAAGCGGACUCUAUCGGCUGCUUUUCUUCUGCUCAACAACAGAGCUACACCAACCUCAACUUCGUUUUCCAGAACCUACGACUUUAGCCCCACCCCCUGCCCCGCCUUAGCGGACACUCAGAGAUUGCCUGCUCUGCCCAGAGCUGAUCUCCACAUUGGAACACAGGCACAGAAUAGAGAGUGGCAGGAAAGUUCUAGGAAAACAAUCUCCACAAAUGAAGAAAGAGAAAAUAACAUCUGGCGAUGAAAUGACCUCCAAAGCUGAAGAUCAGGGGGGAAGUCUCAGAGACAGACACAGGAAAACUCCUGGAGGCCUCCUCCCACACAUAAAUAAAAACCUUCCACUGA